rnacentral:lncRNA from 1 species
UGCACUAUUUGAAUCGAGUGGAAGCUUUUUAAGCGAAUCGCAACCGCGAACUUCCAAUUCUUUCAGACGUGGGAGAGGCAAGGGUUUCCAGUAAAUGCUCUUCAAAUUGCGCAGUCGCUCUAACCGAAGACGCUGGAGUUUUGCUAAAGGGCUGCUUAUUAUUCCCGUCAUCUCAGGAAUGUCAUCAAACUCUCCAGCACUGAUUAUUUCUUCCAUGUGAUCGCAAUAGCGUACGGAAAUAGACUUGAGGUUUGGAGCAAAAACGAGGAAUGUCAAGUGUUUCAAAUUUCUGCAACUGUCUACGGUAACUUCCUCAAGGCUGCGGAAAACAUAAGGUUGGCGCGAUUUUUGUACCAUAUAUUUGUAGUCAAUCUUCAGUCCCUUAAUCCAAUCACAAGAACGAAAGUAUAAUGUAUUGAGCUGCUCUAGAUCUGCUAAAUGUGCAACAUCAAUCGACUCCUCCCUACCGAACUCAUCGAGCAAGAGAGCUUGGGUACAACGUCGUAACUUCUGUGAGCUCAAAAAUGUUUGGUAAGCCUUAAAACUCCUGAAGGUGAUCUCCAGUACCUCUAAAUAUUUCAAACCGAGCAAUUCCUCUGCUACAUUCUCAUACCUAGAGCUAAACGGUCUGUCAAAUGAUAAAAGACCAACACCAAUACCAAGCAUUCUCAACACACGUAACCUUGAAAAAUUAGAUAACAGUUGCUGUGGAACUUCAACUAACUUGGCUGCCCAGUCCAAAUUCAAACAUUUAAGAUUUACCAACGCUUUUAACUCUUCGGGUAACUCUGUAACGCUUGUAUUUGAAAUAUCAAGGAGUUGUAGUGAAACCAACUUUGAGAUCCCCAUUGGUAACUGCCGUAGCAUUAUAUUAUCUGACACCUUCAAAACUGUUAGACAAGGCAUAGAAUGGAAGAAGCCACCGGCGAUCGUCGUCAACUUAUUAUCGUUAAGAAACAAAGUAAGAAGACGAGGGCAUGUAGGAACAGUUGGUAGAUUUUUAAUUGAAUUUUUCAUCAAUGAUAAUCUUCUCACCAUUUCCCAUCCUCUGACAUCUGCAGGUGCCUCCGUUAAUCCGGAACCUGCAUAAACCAAAAAGCCCUCCUUCUCCUUCUCAAUCUCACAAGUUAUCCACAAUGCCAUAUCGCGGAUGACGUCAUGCAUUUUUACUUGAUCAUCUUCUACCUCUUCCAAUAAACAUGCAUGAACUAGAGUGGCCACGAUGUAGUAUCCUUGGUUUUGUGUGCCAAACUUGGCUUCAUCCAAAAACCCCUCGCAAAUCCAGCAAUCAAUCAAGUCUCUUUUAUAUAUACUGUAAUCUUCUGGAAAUAAACAACAAUAUAAGAAACAAGAUCUGAUUGCAUCGUUUGGCAAGCAAUCAUAGCUGAAUUUUAAAAGAGGAUAUACCUCCUUUUCCAAACCUGCAAAUUUGGAAGCUGAUCUUCUUAAAACUUCAAUCGCAUAUCUCCAUUCUUCAGGAGCCUUUUUGUAGGCCAUGGCUCGACCAAUAGUAAUAAGCGCGAGCGGCAAUCCAUCGCACUCCUUUGCCACAGUUUGAGCUAGUUCAGGAAUACUAUGAUGACUCUCAAUAGUUUCUUCCCCAACUUUCUCUCGAAAUAGCUCCCAAGCAUCCUCAUCGGAUAAGCAUGCCACUUUGAACUUCCUUCGAGCUUCCAUGCGGCCACAAACAUCAACGAAACGGGUUGUAAAUACCACUGCACUAUUUUUUGGGCUGUUACUACUACUAGGAAGAGGGACACCAAUCUUCUUUAGAUCAACCCGCUCCCAUAGAUCAUCCAACAACAAAGCAAACUUCUUCUUGCUUAAAGUCUUGAAGAUGUCCUGAGCUUUCUCUUCGAGACUUUUGUCCUUCCAUGAAUCAGUAUAUAGACCUAUCUUUUUCCCGAUAGUUUCCUGAAUUUUUUCAAGCUGCAGGUCGUUGGACACCACAACCCAAAUCACAUAAUCAAAAUCUGUUGGAUUAUCAACAAAUUUAUUAUUGAUUUGGGUUAACAGUGUAGUUUUACCGACGCCGCCCAUGCCGUAUAGGCCAAUUAUACCAGCUGCAGGUUCUUGUACAAGCCAUCUCCAAACUUGUUCAAGUUGUGAUUGCAAGCCUACCACCGUUGGCUCCGUAGGUCUUUCAUCUGCCCCAGAUAGUAAUUCUGGAGCUGCCACCUCUUCAAAAACUCCUUCCCCCCUUAAGGCCUUCACAUCUCGCAGCCUUUUAACAACUUUUCUACCAAACUUGUAGCUUGACUUGCAGUUCCUGGAGCAGUAGCCUCCAAGACACAAUUUGUCAAUUUCCUGAGAGCCACCAUCUCUUCCCAUGAGUUCAUCAACUUCAGUUUUAAGAGUCUCCACCCUCGAAAGCCAAUCCUGCACUUGGUUCAGCCUCUUCAUUUUGUGUUGGUUUUCAGCAUUGAGGACCCUCGUCAUCACAUCAUUCUUUGCAGCGAUUAGUUGUUCCAAUUCAGUCGUCAAGGCAACAACAUUAUCUUUGAGGUCAGUUAUAUAUGCAGCUUUGCCAAGAGCGCAGUCUGGGCAACGAUUGAACAUUGCGCCAACAUCGCAAGAGAUUUGCAAAAUGUUACCCAUAAUAAAUUUAGCUUAUUCUUGCAUUAUUCUCACUUGUAUUUAUGAAUUCAACCAAGAGAGAAACAAAGGAAUUUAGCUUCACCAGUUUGAUGAACAGAAGCUGCGGUCGCUGAUUAAUUGAGAUAGAACAUUAGUUAUUGAAUAAUGUAAUCAGCUCUUUUUGUACCCAACUUACUAAAAAAAGUAACAAAAAAGAAAAUUUGAAAGGUGGAAUGCAGCUGGCAAAGGAAAAAUCAAAGGCCAUGCUUCCCACAUCAAGAUGGUGGUGGUGGUACCAUCUUUGUGUUUCCUUGACCUUAUCCAAUAUUCAUCAUUUUUGGUCCCACAUCAUGCACGUGCUUGACAGUUAUUUCGAUUUUAUCUCUUUUUAUUCCCCCUUUCAGAUCAGCAUUUUUGUCUUGAUUCUUGAAUAGUUGAAUAUGUAUGUGUGUGGGGGCAUAUAAUAUAUAGUACUUAGAUUUUGUUUAAUUUUCUAUUGUUAACUUGAUUAUUUGUGGCAUUAAUUUAAUAUGAUUUACAUCUUUUUGGUUGUAGUGUUGAUGAGGUUCCUUUAUAUGAUGACCCAAUAUAUAUAUAUAUAUAUAUAUAUAUAUAUAUAUAUAUUUUGUUGUCUUCAUUUGUUUAAUUAUGAGAAAAAUAAAAUAGUAAUAAGAUUGGUCAAUUUGGGUAAACAAUUAAUGAACUAAUGUAGUAUAUCUCAUCUCACUCCCCUAGCAUAUCAUAAAUUUCCAAAAUUUGUCUUCAAUCGAUUAAACAUAAAUGCUGAUCUGUUCAGGAUGAUAUUCUGAGUCCCAUUUUCAUUUUCAUUUACUGAAAAUAAGUUGAACAACUGUUCGUUAUAAUGUUUUAAUAAAAUGAAUUAUGAAAUAAAAAAUUGAGAUUUUACUUUUGUUUACUCAAAAAGUUGAGAUUUUUAUGGUUUUAUUGAAUUUCAAGAAUGGAAGCCAUUCUCUCAUCUUUAUCUUAGUUUAGCGUCCAUGGUAAUUAAAAUGGUUUUUGUAUCAAAUUGAUAAGAUUGAAACAUCUAAUGCUGCAAUGGCUUUUGUGAUUAUUUUAAAUUUGAAGUUUAAAUUUGAUAAAACUAAUAAUUUUAUUGAGCAGAAGAUGAGUGGAAGGACUUUUUCUUUUACUUUUAGCCGAACAAAAAGAUAAAAUAAAAUGUUCAAGGACUUAUAAAAACAAAUGUCGUCAUAUUUUGCUUGUACCAAUGAAACAGUAGUUGUGAACAAGGAUUAAAAUAAUAUUUUCAAAUGAGAUUUUUCUCUAUACUUUAUCAUACCUUUUAUUUGAAUAUCUUUUUUUCGUAUAUAAGUUUAUGAUUUCAUUUAUCAGAUGCUCUAUAAUAUAUUUCAUUUACUGAAAUUUUUUAUUAUUAAAUGUAAUGAACAAUUAAAUUUUUUAUAAGUGUUUACUGUGUGAUACCAAAAAAUAAAUAAACUCUAUAUAAUCCAUUGACAUAAAUAUAAACUAUAUGUUUAAGUAAAAAAAAAAAAGUUUCAAUCCAAUGCUACCGAACAAGUAUUACAGUUUUUAUAUUUAAAAUAUAAGUUUCAAAAACUCAUACCGAACACAUACUUAUAUUUAGAAUACUGGUUUCAAAAACAUCAUUUUUAUUUUUGUUUUUGUUCUAUAAAAACAUCAAUUUACAAUAAUAAAGACAAAGAAUUGAAAAUUUUAAUAAGAAUUAAUCUAACUACUCUCUUUAAAAGGAAAAAAAAAAGAAAAGAAAAUUAAAUUAAUAUAAUAUUAAAUUUAUAACCUCAACUCAAUGGUCAUAUCAAGAACAUAUUUAAUUAUUUUAUUUUUAAUCUACAAUUGAGAUGUCAAGCCCUGGAGUUAAAGCGGUUGUUAUCAUUUUGUUUUCUGAUUUAAUUUCCAUUUUAAAAAUAAUUUUAUAUCCCGUGAGCAAUGCAACGAAUGAUUUGCGAGUUUGGAGGAGUCCAUGCAUAUGGGGCCCACUGGUUGUUUGAUGAUUGAUUAUGUCACAUGAUUCCUGCCACAUACGAUUAUUAUCCACCCUUUAUCUCCUUUUUUUUUUUCUUUAAUACAUAAUCCCCAUUACUCAUUUCGCUUUCAAUUUCAUAUCGAUGCCGCCACUUCACUUUAUCUCUUUUUGUUUUGUUUUUCUUUUAAAUAAUCAGCAUUUUAAUUUUAUAAUUUCUAAUAUAUAACUAAUACUUGAGAGAGUAAUCAUAAUCAUAGUCAAUAUUUUUGGUGAGGAAGAUGUCAAGUAAUAUGACACUUCUCAUGUUCCGUUAACAUUUCAAUUAUAUUAUUAAUUAUCAUCUUAAUUUAGAUAGUAUUAUUUAUUUACGAGAACAUAUCAAUUAUGAAAUUUUUAAUUUUAAAAAUUAAAGAAAUGAUUGAACUGAUUUUUUUCUUAUUAAUUGAUAGCUUAGAUGCAUUUUAUUACAUGUUAAAUAAUUAUGAAUACAUAUCCUUUUUGGUAAUUUAAUUACAUAAAAGUACUUUUAAUUUUACACAAUCAAACCGUUUAAUGGUUCAAAAGUAUUUUUUUAAUUGACAACCAAACACCCAAUUACUUUUUAUCCAAAAGCUCUAUUGGUAUAAGAUCUACUUCUAUAAGAGCUACUGCUAUAAGCUCUAUUUAAUAAGUUGUACAAAACGGAGCCUUACACGAUUGAUUUAUCUAUUUUUUAUUUUACAUUUUUUUUACUCUUCCUCAUGUUAUUGUCCCUUUCUUUUUCUUUUCUUUUUCCUUAGCAGCAAUGUUCCCAAAUUUAAUCGAGAAACAAAGCUAUAAAUGAUAGAACUUAUUAGUUUGAUAAUUAACAAACUCGCAACAGAUAGUACUCAAUUUCAUCCCUAAAUGAAUGCAACACGACUGUGGGCAUAAUACGUCGAGACUUGGGAAAACGUGGCCCUAAGGCAUUUUCAGAAAGAUUAGGGGAUUAACUUAAAUUUAAUUCUUUUAAAAUGUGAAGUUUACGUUUUGCACCCUUUGAAUUUACAGUUUCUUAUUUAUGGCAUCUCAAUUUGGCUUCUCUCGAAUAUGGUCCACGUUAAACCAAAAUUAUAAUUGCACCACUAAAUAUGAAAGUACUGAAAACCUAUUUGAAGUGGAAAGUUAGCGAGUUUCUAUAUUUUUUAAGGAUAUAUUUUAAGUAUGAUAAUCGGCCACCACAUAUUACAUUCAUGUAUGAUAAUCGGCCACCACAUAACUUACCCAAUAUUCAUCAUUUUUGGUCCCACACCAUGUGCUCGACAGUUGUUUCGAUUUUAUCUCUUUUUAUUCCCCCCUUUCUUUCUUUCGUUCUUUAUUUCAGAUCAGCAUUUUUGUCUUGAUUCUUGAAUAGUUGAAUAUGUAUGUGUGUGGGGGCAUAUAAUAUAGGAAAAUGCUACUUUCCCCGGGUCAAAUCCCGGGUCAAACCCCGAAUUAAAUAAAAACGACGCCGUUUUAGUUUCUUUUUUUUGCUUCCAUGAAACGCAGUCGUUCAGCCUAGUGAAAACAGAAAAAACGCAGCUGCUUUUCUUUCUCUUCCUCUUCCUCUUCGAUUCACCACACCCGAGCAAAAGCUUGAACAACAGCAGUGAUGUGUGUGUGUGUGUGUCAUUUUUCUCAUGCUUAUAGAAGGCAAUAAAGCUGCUGAUUCUGGACUAUUUUGGUGUCCACAAAAUCCGCUUUUGUGCUUCUAAUUAACUUGCUUUCUAUUAUUUAUAAUUCUUUCACUUUCUUUAAAGGUAAAUCUCACCUAGGUUUAUGCUUUUUCUUCUAAAUCUAAAGCCCUAUAAGUCCGUUUGCAGUUUGUAUUGGAGCUGUAAAAUGCAGAGCAAUUGCAGCACAAAUUGCAGACAAACAGAGCACAAAUUGCAGACCAAUUUAGCACGCAUUGCAGCACAAUUUGCAGAAGUCACUUGCACAGCAACUCAUCAAAAAAUGCAGAGCAAUUGAAAACAAAAUGCAGACAAAUCUGUACACAGUUUCUUCCGGACCAAAAUCUCAUUUUCAUCAUCAUUCAUCCUCAACACUGGGCACCCAAAUCAAGUGCGGAAAGGAAAAAUGAAUAUCAAUUGCAAUUUAACACACUUAUUUUCUUAACAUUUUACUUCAACCGAAAAUUAAAUAAAAUGGAAAUGACAAUAGCUAUCAAAAUUCAGCACUUGCAAAGCAAUUAAAUUCAGCACUUGCAGAGCAAUAAUAUUCAGCACUUGCACUAGAUCAGCCAAAUUGCAGCACUAAAGAUCGAAGACGUUUGGGUUUGCUUUUUCCUGGGUCAAACGGCAACGUUUGCUUUCGAUUGAUUGAAACGGCUGGUGAAACGAUGAGGAGAAUCGAAGAGGACAAGAAGAUGCAAACGAAGACAUUCGGUUUUGUUUGGCUGAAACGACUACGUUCCAUGGAAGCAAAAAGGACAAAAAAAAGAAGCCAAAACGGCGUCGUUUUGUUUAAUUCGGGGCGCGUUUCGGGGUUAAAAUUCGGGGUGAAUAGCAGCGCUCCAAAGGAAAUGCUUGUAAUGAUUUGAUUCCAGUUUGGCUGGUUAGGUUGUUUAUUUAUUUAUCAGUCAUUGUAGGAAUUUAUGAAUCAGGGGAACUCGUCUGUUGGAUUUUUUUAAGAACUGUGAAGUAUUAGCUGAUUUUUUACCAUAUUUUGGAAUUUUAUUUUGUCUUUGAGAUGAGGAAUAAAUUGAUACCGUUUCUAUUGACCUUUCAUAUGAAAACUACUUGAGCGCAUGAUAUAUAUCUGUUUUUGUUCAUUUCUGUAUUUUGUUGCUGUUGACUGAAGCUGGAUUUUCAUGCUCGUUUUUAUCAUUUAUUCUUUUGAAAUCGCGAAAUGAAUUCUCAAUAUUUUCAGGGGAAAUGCUUAUAAUUAGAGCGAAUUUAAACAUUGAUUGUGUACUGUAUACCUGCAAGGGGCAGUUUAUUUCCUUUGAUUUGAGUAAAAUAAAAUCUCCGUGAUGGUAGCACUUAUUUAAUCAAGCAGGACCUAAAAGAUGGAAAGGAGCGAUACAUAGACAAAAAAAAACACCCCUUAUGAAUUCCAUGGCACUUCUUCCAUUUUGUCACUCGGGGACUACUCAAGAAUUUCACAUUUCAGUUUCGUAAUUUAUAAUUAAAUAUAAAAGAAUUUUUUGAAAAUUUGAUGACAGUUGUUGAAAACAUUUACUAAUUAUAAAUGCGUUAAAAAUUAUUUGAUUCAUUUAGUAUCAUUAUUAGUGAUUUAAUUUUUCAUCUUGAUUUAAAAAAAAUUAAUUUUUUUUUAAUUUUAAAAAGCAAAAUAGAUAACUCUUGACUAAGCGACAGCCGAUGAAUUUUGUAUUAAUCUGGAAAAGUAUUACUACAUCUACGUGUCAUUUAAAGGUUCUUGUAAUUUGAGACGACUUGUCGUCUAUGAUUUAGACCGGACCGGUUCGCGCAAACUUCAAAGCUUUCGAGUAUUCACGGAGCGGCAAUCGCAAAAUCCCUCAAAAGAACACACACAAGGAAUGGAGACUGGGAAAGUAAAGGAGAAGGAGAAGGAGAAGGAGAAGGAGAAAGUGUGCAAGAGGUGUAAGCAAACGUACACAGCUUCAUCAAACAGCUCUUCUUCUUGCCGCUUUCACCCUUCCUUCUUCGUUUGCCGUCGUCACGACGACCAGAAAAGGUACCCUCCCCGCUCCCUCUUUUGAUAAUCAUUUCGCAUACCCUUUUCUUCGAUUUAUUUUAUUUUUUUCUCAUGUACCCUUGCGAUUCUUUUGCAUUUUUUUAUUGGAUGUUAUUAAUUAUUAUAAAAAAAAUUCUAAAAAAUAAAUAAAAUUCACGGCAGCUGGGAGUUGAACGAAACUCUGAGUCCAGUCCUGUUUGGUAGGAUUCUUUGAUUUACAAAGCAUCGAGUAAUCAGAUUCGCUGGGUAUUCAUUUUGUUUUGUUAUUUUUCCAUGUGUCAAUUUUCAUUUAAUUUGGGUUUGUUUAUUUUUGGAUGACUUAGAAAUCCUAAUGUACAACGGCAAUAAUUAGAUGCCGUUAAAUAAUUAUUCCAUUUGCCAGCUGGUUAAUUGUUUCAGGAGUUCAUGCUGAGACUUGUUUUACCACGCCAUCCGUACAAAAAUCUAAUGAAGUCCGGCCAUGUAUAUAUUUAUUUUUUAAAACUGCCGUACAAGUUGAUAAUUACAUUUAAUACAUGCAUCCAUAAUGUCUUCAUAUGGUUGUACAACAACUGGAGUACUAUUGCUGUUAUACAGAGGUGCUAAACUGCUAAUCUCAAAACGUCAUUUGCCACAAGCACCGCAACUACUGAUGGCAUAUCAUGUAUUACUUACAAAUCAACUGAUUUUGUAUUAAUCUUCUGUUUUUCUUAUAGUAUGAGUAUACCGUAGGUGGUACUAUUGUUUGCAUAUUGAAGAAAGCUCAUUUAUGGUAGGAUUUGUAAUUGUUUUGUGUGGCAAAAGCACCUCUUUGUUUGCCUUCAAAUAUCUGGGUUGACAGGGACAGAAUUUUAAGAAGUGGAACUGUUGAUAACAAAGCUAAAAGCUGAAAGUUUCUCAUUCUUGUUUCCUGGAUUUUUCAGUUCAUACCAAAUCUACUUUUUGAGGUUCAUUAUUCAUUUCCUUUAAUUCUUCGUCAUUGGGUUUCUACUGCAUUGUAAUGCUCCACACAAGGUUAGACUCCUUGCAAGGCACUUCUAUUCUAUGCUAGCUUUUCAUAUCACGCUUUUCAUAACAUGAGUUGGACUGAGCUCAGUCAGUUGAUGCUCCAUGUUUUUGAUUCAUUGAAGGUACUAUGAAUUGGGACCUGAUGAUCCACCGUAUGCUGCCAAGUUUUACGACUGCUGCGGGGCCGAGGAUGCUGAUGCCUCUGGUUGUACCACUGGCUUCCAUGUCUCUUAUGAUGAUGAUUAACAUAAUUUUUACCUCCUAAUCACCUGUAACUAUAGAUUAAAUUUGUAGAUAUCUCCGUGUCUCCUCCUGUGACCCACAUCAUUUCCACUGUUCUACCACUGUAUAAUUCAGGUCUUUCAUCAGUUUAUCUCUUCAUUUCUCAACAUUUUUCUUUUUUUUUUCCUGGGGUUGAUCUGGCAUGAAUUCGACAUGUGCUGCUAUGGCCAACUUUCGAGGGAUGAUGGUAAAUCUUAACCCUUUUGCAUAAACUUCUGGAAUUAGUUGGUCUAGGGAGUUUGAAGAGCAUAUACUGGAAGCCAUUGCCUUCCCACAUCUUAAGUAAAGAGUAAUGCUACUUUGGCAGAAAUAGGUUUACAAAAUUUUGACAUACUUAUGAAAUACUAAAUUACCUUUUAGUUUAUUUACAGAUAGCGAAUUGGGCUUUUUACAUAUUUUUGUAAAACUACUAGACAACUGAGCUAUAAUUAUCAAUUUUAUUUUGUAUUAGUAAAUAAUCAAAGAAUCAACCUAAACUUAUAUUCAGGAAAGAAAUAACUACAGAGGACAAAAAAUUAAUGAGGCGAUUGAAAAUUACGCCAAAAUUAAUAGUAAGGCAUUUGAGAUUGCAGUAGAACUUCUCAAUAAUCAUAUUAUUAGGAUCAAUUCAUUUUGUUACUAUAAGGAGGUUAAAACUUUGUAGAAGUUUAGUUCAAAAUUACUAUCUUGACUUCAUUAUUCUUAGUGUAAGUGAUUAGUAUUAAAAAUUGUUUAAUUAUCAAGCGAUAAUAUGUUAUUUUAUGCUUAUGUUAUAAUUUAUAUUUGUGUUUAUGUAAUAUAUUAUGAAUUAUUAAUUAUGUUUUAAAUAUAUUUAAUUUUGUGUAUUUUUAUGUGUUUAUUAGGAAAAUUAUUAAUUUCACGUACUUCGAGGCUCCAAACAGAUAAACGGAGGUCAAAUUUGGAUUCCGGAGGUCCGAAAACCUUAAGAUCAGUCAAGAUCGGCUUAAAAUUGGGCUUGUGUAAAAAAAGUUGACUUUUCCUGUUGACCGAGCACUGAUUGGAUGAUGAAAUGAGCUUACAAUAGAUAUGAGUGCAUGGGAUAACUGGCAAUCUUGACCAAAUCUCAACCGUUCAUGAUUCAAUGGCCAUGAUUGUGCCACGUGGCAAUGGUUGGUGAAGCAAGUUGGAGGAUCCGAAUCUUUGUAUUCGGGUCGACCCGAUCCACCCAUUAACCCGCCAAAUCUCAACCGUUCUUUGGGUAAAUCGGACGAGUCAAAUGAUGCCAUGUGUGAUGUUGACUUUUGAAGUUUGACCAGCCAUUGGAUCUUGAUCUAAGGGUUGUGAGGAGCACAUGCAUGAAGCCUAUGAUGGACCGCAAAGCACGGGAUUAUGAAUUUAUUUUUUCUAUAAAUAGGGCCUCAUUUUUAUGUUUUAAUCAUCUCUCUACAACUCUCUUCUUCUCAAAUUCUCUCCAUCUCCUUGUAAUCUUGAUUUCCAGGUGUGUUUUUAAUAUUUUGUAUAAUUAUUUUCAUUAAUAAAAUUAGUUUUAUUUUCAAUUUUAGUUGUUUUUAUUUCUUUUAAUUAUAAGUAAUUCAAUUUUACUACUUCUUUUUAUUUUAAUUAUGCUUAACUAAAUAAUAUUAGUUAGGGGAAGGUGAAACUCUUAAGAAAUAAAUAUGAUUUAAUCAAAUUCUAUGUUUAAUUUUAUAAAUUAAAUUAUUUUCUAUUUAAUUUUAUACAUGUUUUAUAUUUUGAAAAUUUGAUUUAUUGUAGACAAAUAAAUGAAUUUGGCACAAUAAAUUCUUAAGAUCUUAAUAUAAGGCAUGGUGAAAUGGUAUUUUGACUUAUUGUAGACAAAUUAAAUUUUGGCACAAUAAAUACUUAAUCCAUCAUAAAAUUAAAGGGAAAAUAAUAAUAAUUUGUAUAAUUAAUCUUUUGAGUAAUAAAUCUAAAACAAAUUGGCAAAAAGAAUUUAUUAAGUUUUAUUUGUUUCUAAGAGUGGAUCCAUAACCCUAACUAGUUCAAUUCCAUAGUUUCAUUUAAAUUAAGUUGUUUAUAUUCAAGUUUUAAUUUCAAUUUUUAGAUCAAAUAAAAUAAAUUAAUUAAAUCUUUUCUCUGUGGAUCGACCUCGGACUCACCGAGUUAUAAUACAACAAGACACUCUUAUACUUGGGAGUUAAAAUUUACUUUUAAGUUGUGUCAGUAAGUAAGAUAAUUAAUAAUUAAUUCAUGGAACAUGUCAAUUCUAUGAAGCUUCAAACAUGCUUGAAUACUUAAAAAUAUUUUGUCUUCAACAAGAAGGUGUUUAUAUUAUCGAAUUAUUUUUGCAAUAUACAAAUAAUUAUUAUUAUGUGGAGGCAAUUUCAAAGAUGUGAUAACAAUUUUAAAGAAUAAAUCAUUAUCUCAAACAACUUUAAAAAAUAUAUUUUUUUAUACUAAAUCUUUUAAAGUAACAAAUAUGUUUUGCAAUACACAUAUAAUUAUUAUUAUGUGGAGGCAAGUUACUAAAGUCGGGAUCUAAAACACUUAUUACAAUUAGAGUUAAUUCUUAUUUAUAAUUUACCUAAAUUAAAGUUAAAAUUUUUUUAUGACUAUAAGAGAGUUAUUUCUAUAUAGAUUAUCACUAUAAAUAUAGAGUAUCACUAUAAAAAGGUUUUACGAUCAAUCAUCCAUCAUAAUAAGCACAAGAAUGACAAGUUUUGAUUCUCAAAUAAAUUCUUAUAAAACACAACCAUGGAUUAAGAUUGUCAGGAAAUGGGAAUGCAAUACAAAGUAAUUAAUGACACAGUCACAGUGUUUCACUUACACGUGAAGCAAACGAAACAAGAAGAAUCUUAAGAAAAAAACACUCACCAGAACGCAAGGUUCAAUCCGGGCUUAGCCCCUCUAACCACAGUUCGUCAAGAGAUUGGAAACAGAGACGAAAAGCAUUUUGAGUGGCUUCAUCCUCCCAUUGAAGCCUUCUCCACCAGUCUUCACCUCCACGAAUAAGAAUUCGGCGCCCCUUUGCACUAUUUGAAUCGAGUGGAAGCUUUUCAAGCGAAUCGCAAUACUCCACUUUCAAUUCUUUCAGACGUGGGAGAGGCAAGGGCUUCCAGUAAAUGCUCUUCAAAUUGCGCAGUCCCCAUAAGUGAAGACGCUGGAGUUUUGCGAAAGGGCAGCUUAUUAUUCCCGUCAUCUCAAGAAUGUCAUCAAACUCUCCAGUACUGAUUAUUUCUUCCAUGUCAUAGCAAUGGUCUACGUAAAUAGACUUGAGGUUUGGAGCAAAAACGAGGAAUGUCAAUUGUUUCAAAUUUCUGCAAUAGCUUACGGUAACUUUCUCAAGGCUGCGGAAAACAUAAGGUUGGCGCGAUUUUUGUACCAUAUCUUUGUAGUCAAUCUUCAGUCCCCCAGGCCAACCACAACGAGAAAAGUAUAAUGUAUUGAGCUGCUCUAGAUCUGCUAAAUCUCCAACAUCAAUCGACUCCUCCCUACCGAACUCAUGGAGAAAAAGAGCUUGAGUACAACUUCGUAACUUCUGUGAGCUCAAAAAUGUUUGGUAAGCCUCAAAACUCCUGAAGGUGAUCUCCAGUACCUCUAAAUAUUUCAAACCGAGCAAUUCCUCUGCUACAUUCUCAUGCCAAGAGCUAAACAGUCCGUAAGGUGAUCUAAUACCAAUACCAAACAUUCUCAACACACGUAACCUUGAAAAAUUAGAUAACAGUUGCUGUGGAACUUCAACUAACUCGUCUGCCCAGUCCAAAUUCAAACAUUUAAGAUUUACCAACGCUUUUAACUCUUCGGGUAACUCUCUAACGCUUGUAUUUGAAAUAUCAAGGUGUUGUAGUGAAACCAACUUUGAGAUCCCCAUUGGUAAUUGCUGUAGCAUUCUAUUAUCUGACAUCUUCAAAACUGUUAGACAAGGCAUAGACUGGAAGAAGUCAUCGGUGAUCGUCGUCCACUCAUUAUCGUUAAGAAACAAAGUAAGAAGAUGAGGGCAUGUAGGAACAGUUGGUAGAUUUUCAAUUGAAUUUGUCAUCAAUGAUAAUCUUCUCACCAUUUCCCAUCCUCUGACAUCUGCAGGUGCCUCCGUUAAUCCGGAACCUGCAUAAACCAAAAAGCCCUCCUUCUCCUUCUCAAUCUCACAAGUUAUCCACAAUGCCAUAUCGCGGAUGACGUCAUGCAUUUUUACUUGAUCAUCUUCUACCUCUUCUAAUAAACAUGCACGAACAAGAGUGGCCACGAUGUAGUAUCCUUGGUUUUGUGUGCCAAGCUUGUCUUCAUCCAAAAACCCCUCGCAAAUCCAGCAAUCAAUCAAGUCUCUUUUAUAUAUACUGUAAUCUUCUGGAUAUAAACAACAAUAUAAGAAACAAGAUCUGAUUGCAUCGUUUGGCAAGCAAUCAUAGCUGAAUUUUAAAAGAGGAUAUACCUCCUUUCCCAAACCUGCAAAUUCGGAAGCUGAUCUUCUUAAAACUUCAAUCGCAUACCUCCAUUCUUCAGGAGUCUUUUUGUAGGCCAUGGCUCGACCAAUAGUAAUAAGCGCGAGCGGCAAUCCAUCGCACUCCUUUGCCACAGUUUGAGCUAGUUCAGGAAUACUAUGAUGACUCUCAAUAGUUUCUUCCCCAACUUUCUCUCGAAAUAGCUCCCAAGCAUCCUCAUCGGAUAAGCAUGCCACUUUGAACAUCCUACGAGCUUCCAUGCGGCCACAAACAUCAACGAAACGGGUUGUAAAUACCACUGCACUAUUUUUUGGGCUGUUACUACGACUAGGAAGAGGGACGCCUACCUUCUUUAAAUCAACCCGCUCCCAUAGAUCAUCCAACAACAAAGCAAACUUCUUCUUGCUUAAAGUCUUGAAGAUGUCCUGAGCUUUCUCUUCGAGUCUUUUGUCCUUCCAUGAAUCAGUAUAUAGACCUAUCUUUUUCCCGAUAGUUUCUUGAAUUUUUUCAAGCUGCAGGUCUUUGGACACCACAACCCAAAUCACAUAAUCAAAAUCUGUUGGAUAAUCAACAAAUUUAUUAUUGAUUUCGUUUAACAGUGUAGUUUUACCGACACCGCCCAUGCCGUAUAGGCCAAUUAUACCAGCUACAUGUUCUUGUACAAGACAUCUCCAAACUUGUUCAAGUUGUGAUUGCAAGCCUACCACCGUUGGCUCAGUAGGUCUUUCAUCUGCCACAGAUAUUAAUUCUGGAUCUGGCGCGGCCACCUCUUCAAAAACUCCUUCCCCCUUUAAGGCCUUCACAUCUCGCAGCAUUUUAGCAACUUUUCUACCAAACUUGUAGCUUGACUUGCAGUUCCUGGAGCAGUAGCCUCCAAGACACAAUUUGUCAAUUUCCUGAGAGCCACCAUCUCUUCCCAUGAGUUCAUCAACUUCAGUUUUAAGAGUCUCCACCCUCGACAGCCAAAGCUGCACUUGGUUCAGCCUCUUCAUUUUGUGUUGGUGUUCAGCAUCGAGGACCCUCGUCAUCACAUCGUUCUCUGCAGCGAUUAGUUGUUCCAAUUCAGUCGUCAAGGCAACAACAUUAUCUUUGAGGUCAGUUAUAUAUGCCGCUUUGCCAAGAGCGCAGUCUAGGCAAAGAUUGAACAUUGCGCCGUCGCAAGAGAAUGAGAUUUGCAAAAUGUUACCCAUAAUGUAUCUCACUUGUAUGUAUGAAUUCAACCAAGAGAGAAACAAAGAAAUGUAACUUAACCAGUUUGAUGAACAGAAGCUGCUGUUGCGGAAUGAGAUAGAACAUUGGUUAUUGAAUAAUGUAAUCACCUCUGUUUGUACCCUACUUACUGUUUGCAUGAGUUAAUGAGCCUGCAAUUGGCCAGGUCCAUAACUGUUUGCAUGCUUCCCACAUCAAGAUGGUGGUAGUGGUACAUCUUUGUGUUUCCUUGACCUUAUCCAAUAUUCAUCAUUUUUGGUCCCACACCAUGUGCUUGACAGUUGUUUCGAUUUUACCUCUUUUUUUUUUUUCUUUUUUUUUCCUUUCUAUCUUUCAGAUCAGCAUUUUUGUCUUGAUUCUUGAAUAGUUGAAUAUGUAUGUGUGGGUGGGUAUAUAUAGUACUUAGAUUUUGUUUAAUUUUCUAUUGCUAACUUGAUUAUUUGUGGCAUUAAUUUAAUAUGAUUUACAUCUUUUUGGUUGUAGUGUUGAUGAGUUGCCUUUAUAUGAUGACCCAAUUUUUUUUUUGGUCUUCAUUUGUUUAAUUAUGAGAAAAAUAAAAUAGUAAUAAGAUUGGUCAUUUUGGCUAAACAAUUAAUGAACUAAUGGAGUAUAUCUCAAUUUGGGUAAACAAUUAAUGAAAUUUGAGGGGUGUGAAAAGCUUAACUCAAUAAGAAAAGCGAUACCUCUUCUAAAAAAAAAAUAAGAAAAGUGAUACGAAAAAUCACUACUCGUUGGAUUAUUUAUAUGGAUGGCCCAUCCCACUGAAGAGUAAAGCGGCUUACGGCCCAAUUUAAUGAGCCCAUUGCCGACUCGUUGCUCUCCCUACGCGCUUUAAAUCUCGUACAAAUCACAGCCAACCAUAUAUUAUAAACGAGGCUCGCGGUUAUUCCAUCGAACAUGGGUCCCAGCAUGCCCCGUCCAUAUCAUAAAUUUCCAAAAUUUGUCUUCAAUCGGUUAAACAUAAGUUUCAAAAUUCUUUCCAAAAAAAAAAAGAAAUUGCCAAUACCAAUCCUUUAAAGUUUAAAACAUCCAAAAGGGGGAAAAAGCUUUUUUUGAGUCGUCCAUAUCAUAAAUUUCGACUAAAGUUGGGACAUGGCAUGUGGUAGACAUGUGGAUUGAUUGCAUAUGUUAUUUGAGUCGUUGUAUCAUCGGCUUCACAUUAUUAAUAAGCUUUUUUUUUCACCCAAAUUCUUCUAAGAAUUAUGAGCAUAUUUUUUAGCAUAAUUGUUGGCUGAUCAGAAACUCUCGAAAGUUCGCCUAUAAUUUAGAUUAAACCAGCAAUUAACAUGAGAAGUUAGGGUGGCAGGCAGGACAAUGGGAACCAACUCAAAUCUGGUUCCAUUAGCAAGCAGCAGCCAAAUUCCAAGAUUCUCAACAAUUUUAGGGACCUGCUCAGGAUGAUAUUCUGAGUCUCAUUUUCAUUUUCAUUUACUGAAAAUAAGUUGAAUAACUGUUCGGUACAAUGUUUUAAUAAAAUGAAUUAUGAAAUAAAAAAUACAGAUUUUACUUUUGUUUACUCAAAAAGUUGAAGAACGACCUUUUUAUGGUUUUGUUGAAUUUCAAGAAUGGAAGCCAUUCUCUCAUCUUUAUCUCAGAUUAGCGUCCAUGGUAAUUAAAAUGGUUUUUGUAUCAAAUUGACAAGGUUGAAACAUCUAAUGCUGCAAUGGGUUUUGUGAUUAUUUUAAAUUUGAAAGUUAAAAUUUGAUAAAACUAAUAAGUUUUAUUGAGCAGAAGAUGAGUGGAAGGACUUUUUCUUUGAUUUUUAGCCGAACAAAAAGAUAAAAUAAAAUGUUCAAGGACUUAUAAAAAAAAUGUCGUCAUAUUUUGCUUGUACCAAUGAAACAGUAGUUGUGAAAAAGGAUUAAGAUAAUAUUUUCAAAUGAGAUUUUUCUCUAUACUUUAUCAUACCUUUUAUUUGAAUAUCUUUUUUCGUAUAUAAGUUUAUGAUUUCAUUUAUCAGAUGCUCUAUAAUAUAUUUCAUUUACUGAAAUUUUUUAUUAUUAAAUGUAAUGAACAAUUGAAUUUUUUUAUAAGUGUUUACUGUGUGAUACCAAAAAAUAAAUUAACUUUAUAUAAUUCAUUGACAUAAAUAUAAACUGUAUGUUUAAGUUAACAAAAAAAAAAGUUUCAAUCCAAUGCUACCGAACAAGUAUUACAGUUUUUAUAUUUAAAAUAUAAGUUUCAAAAACUCAUACUGAACACAUAUUUAUAUUUAGAAUACUGGUUUCAAAAACAUCAUUUUUAUUUUUGUUUUUGUUCUAUAAAAACAUCAAUUGACAAUAAUAAAGACAAAGAAUUGAAAAUUUUAAUAAGAAUUAAUCUAACUACUCUCUUUAAAAGGAAAAAAAGAAAAAAGAAAAUAUCUAACUACACUCACUUUCUAAAAAUAUAAAUACAUAUAAUUACACUAAAACCCCUAUAGAUUUUUAUUUUACCAAACAAUUAUGUGAUUAAUAUUUAUUUAUAAAAUAUAACAAUUAUGUGAUUAAUAUAAUAUUAAUUUUAUAAUCUCAACUCAAUGGUCAUAUCAAGAGCAUAUUUCAUUAUUUUAUUUUUAAUCUACAAUUGAGAUGUCACACCAUGGAGUUAAAGCGGUUGUUAUCAUUUUGUUUUCUGAUUUAAUUUCUAUUUUAAAAAUAAUUUUAGACCCCGUGAGCAUUCAACGAAUGAUUUGCGAGUUUGGAGGAGUCCAUGCAUAUGGGGCCCACUGGUUGUUUGAUGAUUGAUUAUGUCACAUGAUUCCUGCCACAUACGAUUAUUAUCCACCCUUUAUCUCCUUUUUUUUUCUUUAAUAAAUAACCCUCUUUACUCAUUUCACUUCCAAUUUCAUGUUCAUGCCCUUACACUAUUGAUUUAUCUAUUUUUUAUUUCACACAUUUUUUGUUUACUCUUCCUCAUGUUAUUGUCCCUUUCUUUUUCUUUUCUUUUUCCUUAGCAGUAAUGUUCCCAAAUUUAAUCGAGAAACAAAGAUAUAAAUGAUAGAACUUAUUAGUUUGAUAAUUUAUAAACUCGCAAUAAAUGGUACUCAUUUUCAUUCCUAGAUAAAUGCAAUACGACCGUGUACAGAAUACGUCGAGGUUUGGGAAAAACGUGGUCCUCUAGCAUUUUUAUUAAGAUUAGGGAUUUAACUGAAAUUUAAUUCCUUUAAAAUGUGAAGGUUACGUUUUGCACCCUUUGAAUUUACAGUUUCUUAUGUUUGGCAUCUCAAUUUGGCUUCUCUCGAAUAUGGUCCACGUUAAACCAAAAUUAUAAUUGCACCACUAAAUAUGAUAUGACAGUACUGGAAAACUAUUUGAAGUGGAAAGUUAGUGAGUUUCUAUUUUUUUAAGGAUAUAUUUUAAGUAUUAUAGAGAUAAAAAUUAACUAUCUACCUAAGUAACCAAGCGAGCAAUUUAAACUUUAGACCUCUUUUACAUCAACGGGUUAUGUUUGGCAGACUCAAUUUGUCAAUAACUAGAUAUAUGUUAUGACAGACUCAAUUUGGGGCAGAUUCUAGGGUAAGGAAACUAAAAAUGCUUAUUUUCGAAGGUGAGGAUGCCUAUGGAUGGGUGUAUAGGGUAGAGCGCUAUUUCGCCAUCAAUGGACUCUAAGAAAGGGAAAAAUUGAUGGCGGCGGCGUUAUGUUCGGAGGGAAAGGCCCUUGCGCAGUUUCAAUGGCGAGAACAACGAAAACCGUUGAGGUCAUGGGAUGAGUCUAAAGAUCGGCUAUUGGAGAGGUUUCAGGGCACUCAAGACUCAAGAGGGAGAUUUGCAUGAACAAUUUUUUACUUUGACCCAGGAUAGAAUGGUUAUGGAGUAUAAGGAGAAGUUUGAGUUGCUAUCAGGGCGUUUAUGGGGAAUUCCAGAGGCGGUAUUGGAAGGAAAUUUUAUGAAGGGACUGAAGCCAGAAAUCCGAGCCUCGCUACGCUUGCUAAGGCCGAGAGGGUUAAGGGAGUCAAUAAAGUUGGCACAAAUGGUUGAGGAUAAGAACACAAUAGAACGGGUUAAUAGGAGCAAUUCGGUCAAUUUUUCAUACCAAAACAGCACGCCAUUGGUAGGACAGAAAACCCAGACUUUGGGGUUUCAGCGAGAGUUCCAAAGUACACCACUAGGAGGCCAGAAAAUGCAAAUGGUGGAUUUACAGAGAGAUUCCCAAAGGGAUUGGGAUAGUGAGGCACGACUGGGGGUGACUUUCGAACACCUCAUGGAGACAGAGAUUCAGGAUAAAAGGGCGAAGGGGUUGUGUUUUCGAUGUGAUGAGAAAUUUUCACUAGGGCAUCGAUGUAAGGAUAAAUCACUACAAGUCCUGACUGUGUGUGAUGAGGAAGAAGGCUGGAAAGAAGCCGAAGAAGAAGACGCAAUAGUUUCCUAGAUUUCACCUUGAGGACAAGGUGUCUUUUUGGGAGGGGAGUAAUGUUUGACCAAUGAAAAUUUAAGUGCAAUUAUAAAGAGGCAGGGGCACUUUAGUAAUCUUAGGGGCGGGGGCAGUUUAGUAAUUUUAUUAUUAAUUAGGGUUCAGGUAUAAAUAAGAGAUUUUGGAGUCACCUAGAAUUUAUGUUGAGUUUUAUCUAAUGUUAAGAAUAAUUAGGAGUUUUGGGAGAUAUUAACCUACCUCUCGAAUUGUAGGUCAAGAUUAUUAUUUAUUUUUAUCAAUUAAAAAAAAAUCAGCCCUAAUUUACCCCCAAGUCCUGCCAUAAUGGAAUUUGUGUUAUUGACCUCUUCUUUUUUCCCUUUUCCUUCUUCUUGUAACAACUUCUUUAUGAAACAUGUCUUUGCGUCUGGCUCUUGUCUUACUAUGAACCUGCAGUGGAGUACUUGGCAACUACUAGAACCCUGCCACGACUAAUAGAUGUUGUUAAGAGUUCCACAAAGGAGAAGGUGAGAUCUGGAUUCUUGGUAGUAUUUAAUUUUAGCAAAGGCUUACUGCUAGGUUGUCAGGGUGGUGGUCUUGAUCCUUAGGAACUUGCUUCUCAAAGGUAAUUUUGCUGCUCAAAUGAUAGACCUUGGGCUACCUCAAGUUGUUCAAAGUUUAAAAGCACAAGCAUGGAGUGACGAGGUAAAAGAAGUUGCUCGCUGUUUACUUUUUCUUUUUCGGUUGAUUGCAUAAUUAUUUAGUUAAUAGAUCGAGUAAAAUUAAGGGAGUUGAUGGCGCUGUUUGCUACUGAUUGGUGCAUUUGGUGAUCAUUUUAAAUGGAUUAAAAUUUUACUUCGGCUUCUGUUAAGCAUGGUGUUGUAGGAUAUUCAAUUGCUUGUGUGAUGACAAAAACUACUGUUAUUUUUGUUCAUUAUAUGAAUAUUAGUGUUGUUUUGGUGCAUACUUGAUUUUGAUACCAUUAUGCCCUAUUAUUCCUUUGUUCAGCACGGAAUAAUUUUGUUUCCAUCCACACUUUGAUUGAAGCUCUGGCUGGCGAAAGUGCUGACUACUAUUGCACGGACCUACACUAUCUUUGACAAGGUGAGAUUGUAGAAUUGUGGUUUUUUUAUUACCACAUAUUUUCUUUGGCCUUGAACCAUUCAAUUUUGGCAAGGCUUGACUCUUUUUCCUCAUGAUGAACUGAAGUUGUAUACUGCUUAUGUGGAAUCUUGGUAUCCAACACAAAAUUAAGAUUUCAGCCUUCAAACUUAUAAUGCAAGAUAUUAGAUUGAGUUUGGGCGGCUCCUGAAUAGUACCAAAAAGAAUGAGUCUUGACCACCAUUGCUGAAUUUUGUUUAACCUUUAACACAAUGAUGACUUCAUCUUGCUACAUUUACAUAUAAUAGAUUUCAAUAUCUUCUUAGGAUUUACUGGAGUGUCUGAAUCAACUGGAAGAAGGUUUGAAGGAUAAUAUUAAGAGAUUGAGUUCUUUCGACAAGUACAAGCAAGAAGUCUUCCUUGGCCAUCUCAACUGGUCCCCCAUGCACAAAGAUCCCCUAUUCUGGCGUGAUAAUAUCACAAACUUUGAAGAAAAUGAUUUCCAGGUAUUUCUUUUCCCCAUGGACGGUGUUUCUAGUUUUUAUUUUUCAUUUUUCUGCUUUAACUUCACUGAGUGACUUGGCAUCAUUUUGUAUAAAGAAAUACAAAUUUUCUGUAAUACUAACGGAUAAUCUUCUCUCUCAGAUUCUAAGGGUCCUCUUAACAAUUUUGGAUACAUCCAGUGAUCCACGAGCUCUUGCUGUCGCCUGCUUUGAUCUCUCACAGUUUAUCCAGUACCAUCCAGCUGGGCGGGUCAUUGUGACGGACCUCAAAGCCAAGGAACGGGUGAUGAAAUUGAUGAACCAUGUUAGCAUAUGUGAGUAACAGAGCAGGGGAUUCCAGCUCAAGAGCUGACGUGUCAAUAUUUGUUAUACAUGUUGCUUAACGUGUAACAAGCUGAUUUCAGUAGUUGAUAACAGAUUCUAGUAGCUUCAUUAAUUAGUUAGAAAGAUUCGUUUAAGCUCAUAUAUAAACCAACACUUGUAAUCUUUUUCAUCAACUUGAUUGAAUACAAAUUCAUUGAUAUCUGUAUAUUCUUUGUUAUUUUUCUUUCUCUUUCUAUCGUUUUCUUAUCUACCAAACACAUCAACAACAUUUCUAACAUGGUAUCAGAGCCAAUGGCUAACUCAAAUCAAAAUUCUCAUUCCUAUAACUUUGUCACUCCGAUCAAGUUGGAUCACAACAACUUCAUGGUGUGGAGGAAUCAAGUUCUGGCUUCAAUCAAAGGAAACGGUCUGGAAGGUUUCAUCAAUGGAACUAAUCCGUGUCCUGAUCAGUACCUCAAUCAAGUAAGUGAAGCAUCAAGUUCAGCUCAAGGUAAUUCUAGAUCUAGAACUGAAAAUCCUGCGUUUGCUUUGUGGAUUAGAACUGACCAGCUACUGUUAAGCUGGAUGUUCUCGUCUAUUCAAGAAAAUCUACUUACCUCAGUAAUUCAAUGUGUUUCUUCUCAAGAACUUUGGGAAACUCUUACACGCAUGUUCAUCUCUCAAACUCAGGCAAGAAUUGUGCCACUAAAAAUGCAGUUACAGACUUCUAAGAAAGGGUCUAUGUCAAUGAAUGCUUAUUUUUCUAAGAUGAAACGUCUUGCUGAUAGUUUAGCUAUUGCUGGAAAGCCUGUUGAACACAAUGAUAUGAUCUCAUACAUUCUAACUGGUUUAGACUCUCAGGAUUAUGAGUCACUAGUUACUAUUCUGCUUGCUAGAAGUGAUAAUCUGAGUCUAGAUGAAUUAUAUUCCUUGUUAUUGAGUCAUGAAAUGAGGAUUGAGCAAAAGAAAGGGAAGAUCAAUGCUGAUGUAAUUCAUAAUCUCUCUGCUAACAUUGCACAAAAGAAUCAAAAUCUUCCAAGAGGUGGAUCUGGUAAUUUUGGUUUUCCAAGAGGAAAUGGAGGGUUUAACAAUGCUAAUCAAGGAGGAAAUAAUGUCAAUCAUGAGUCAAAUAUAGUGUGCCAAAUUUGUUUCAUUCCAGGUCAUGGUGCUACAAAAUGCAGAAACAGAUUUAAUCCUGCAUUUGUACCACAGAGGAAUUUCGGCAGAGGUAACUUCAGACCUGGUUUUGGAAACUAUGGCAGAGGCUUCACUCCAAAUAAUUUUCCUCCAAGACCUUUUAAUGGUUUUGGAAGAAAUAAUAAUGGUCAAUAUGCUGGAUCACCAAGGGGUUAUGGUUUUCAAAGUGGUUUUCAAGGCCAUGUCACUUAUCCAAAUUCUAAUGUUGCUGGUGCUAACUCUCAAUCUUCCUCAUUUAACUCUCACAACUCUGGUUCUGAUCAUCCAGUAGCUUUUAACUGUUUCAAUGGAACAACUAAUGCUUCUCAGUUUCAGUCAUCAACAAGCUUUCAUACUGAUUCUUCUCCUGAAAUUGUGGAAGAUCCGUCCUGGUACAUAGACAGUGGAGCCUCUACUCACAUCACAGCUGACUCAGGUAAACUCUUUAACAUGCAGCCUUAUUGUGGUACAGAAUCACUUCUGGUUGGAAAUGGAAAUGCAUUAGAAAUUAAACAUAUUGGAUCUACAGUACUUGAUACACUGACAACUGAACCUUUACUCCUAAAAAAUGUCUUACAUGUUCCAAAUAUCACCAAGAAUUUAUUAAGUAUUUCACAACUUUUAGCUGACAACAAUGUUAUUGUUGAAUUUGUUGGAAUUCUUUGUUUCAUUAAGGCCAGGAAAACAGGAACUCUGUUACUUAAGGGAGUAGCUACUGGAGGCUUGUAUCAAAUAGAAGAUUUGUCAAGUGAAGAUUCUCAAGUUUCUUGGUGUCGUAGUCAAAUAAAUAAACCUGUAUCAAUGUUUGCUACUCUCUCUAGUUCAGUCAAUUUCAAUCCCUCUCCUGUCGAGUCAUGUAAUCCAGCAGCUUUAACAAUGUCUGUGUCAUCAGUUGGUGUUGAUUUACUUCACAAGAGACUUGGACAUCCAGCCUCACACACACUUCAAACUGUUAUUAAGACUUGUAAUUUGUUUGCUGGAAUUAAUAAAACUCCAAAAAUUGCCUUCUGUGAUGCAUGUCAGUUUGGCAAAAAUCAUCUUAAACAUUUUGAUUCUGUCAUUACCAAAACAACAGCACCUCUGUAAUUAUUAUAUGCAGAUCUUUGGGGUCCUUCACAUACAACUUCCACUCAAGGCUACAGCUAUUACUUGUCAAUAUUAGAUGAUUACAGUAGGUUCACUUGGAUUUUUCCUUUAAAAGCCAAGUCUGAUUCAUUACAAGUUUUCACUGAUUUCAAAACCUUCAUUGAGAAACAUCUUGAGAGAAGAAUUAAGACUGUCCAAACAGAUUGGGGAGGGGAAUUCAGAUCAUUUUCUUCAUUAUUAACAACCUCUGGUAUCCAUUUCAGACACCCUUGUCCUCACAUUCACCAUCAAAAUGGUAAAAUAGAGAGAAAACAUAGGCACAUUGUUGACAUUGGUCUCACCUUACUAGCUCAAUCAAAUUUGCCACUUACUUUUUGGUGGAAUGCUUUCCACACUGCUGUAUUUCUCAUAAACAGAUUACCAACUCCAGUGUUGAAUAAUGUCUCACCCUAUUUCAAACUCUUUCAUCAAACUCCAGAUUACUCAUUCCUAAGAGUUUUUGGCUGUGCUUGUUACCCUUAUCUUAGACCCUAUAAAAAACAUAAGCUAGAGUUUAGGACUGGUAGAUGCAUCUUCAUUGGAUACAGUCCUAACCAUAAGGGCUAUCAGUGUUUACACUCAUCAGGAAGGGUAUAUAUAUCCAAUCAUGUAGUGUUUAAUGAGAAUUCUUUCCCAUACCAGCCUGGUGUUGAUUUUUCCUCUGUGUCAAUGUCUUGUUCAAGUACAAACAAUCCAGAGUCAACUUCUUCUAUACAAGUUCUUUCAGCACCUCCCUUAACAACAGAGGUUCCUGCUCAAUCUCCACAUUCAUCACAAGAAGUUUCUGGUAAUUUCAACUCACCUUUAUCUCAGCAUUCUUUACCUUCUUAUUCUUCAAAUCAUAAUUCACCAGAUUCUUUACAUUCAAACAUUCCAGUUCCUUUUGUUCCUGCCCAUCAGCUACCCAAUUUUCAGCCACCUGGUCAUAGCAUGAUCACCAGGUCCAAAGCUGGAAUUUUUAAACCAAAAACAUACAUCACUGCACUUUUAGCCCAACCAUCUGAACCCAACUCAGUAAAUCAAGCACUGCAAGAUCCAAAAUGGUUUAAUGCUAUGCAGGAGGAGUUUAAAGCUCUUCAAGCCAAUCAAACUUGGGAUUUAGUUAUUCCUACAGCUGCUGUCAAAGUAGUAGGAAACAAAUGGAUUUUCAGAAUUAAAUACAACUCAGAUGGAUCAAUCUCAAGAUAUAAGGCAAGACUUGUUGCAAAGGGGUUUCAUCAAACAUAUGGGAUCGAUUACAGUGAAACUUUCAGCCCUGUUGUUAAGGCUUCAACAGUGAGAGUGAUAUUGAGUUUAGCUGUGAUGAACAACUGGAUAAUAAGGCAGGUUGAUGUUAAUAAUGCAUUUCUUAAUGGCAUUCUUGUUGAAGAUGUAUACAUGGCUCAACCAGAAGGCUUUGUGGAUCCAGAAAAGCCUCAUCAUGUGUGCAAAUUAAAGAAGGCUCUAUAUGGACUCAAGCAAGCUCCAAGGGCAUGGUUUGACAGGUUCAGAAGAGCUAUGACAUCUCAGUGGCAUUUUGAACAUUCAAAGUCAGAUUCCUCAUUAUUUUACAGAUGGGAUGCAGGUGAUAUUCUACUGGUCUUAGUAUAUGUAGAUGAUAUUAUCAUUACAGGCUCUAAUCAAAAUAGUGUGUUGAAAGUAAUCUCUGAUAUGCAAGCUACUUUUGCUCUUAAAGAUUUAGGAGAGCUUAGCUAUUUUCUUGGUAUAGAGGUUACUAAAAAUUCGACAGGCCUUCAAUUAUCUCAGAGCAAAUACAUAGUUGAUUUGCUGAACAGGCAUGAAAUGGUCACUUGCAGUCCAGUACCAACUCCCAUGGUCACUUCUCAUUCACUUGUUAAGAACUCAGGAGUUAUCAUUCCAAAUGCUUCUCAGUACAGGAGUGUUGUGGGGGCUCUGCAGUAUGUGACUUUGACCAGGCCAGAAUUAGCUUUUUCAGUUAAUAAGUUGAGUCAAUUUCUUUCAGCUCCAACAGAAGAACAUUGGCAAGCAUGUAAGAGGAUACUCAGAUAUUUGAAGGGAACAAUUCACUAUGGCUUACAACUUCAUUCAACUGGAAGUCAGCAUAUGCAAAUAAAUUGUUUCAGUGACUCUGAUUGGGCUUGUGACAGAGAUGAUCGAAAAUCAGUAGCAGGGUAUGCUGUGUUUCUUGGACCUAACCUUGUUUCAUGGUCUUCAAAGAAGCAACAUGUAGUCUCCAGGUCAAGCACAGAGUCAGAAUACAGAGCCUUAGCUCUGGCAACAACUGAAGUUAUGUGGGUAAAAGGGUUACUUACUGAGCUGAAGAUUAAAAUUGAUCACACACCCAUUAUGUGGUGUGACAAUCAGGGAGCAAUAUCUUUGGCUAUGAAUCCAGUGUAUCAUGCCAAAACAAAACACAUUGAGCUAGAUAUACACUUCAUUCGAGAAAAGGUCCAAGCUAAUCAAAUUGAAGUUAACUAUGUGCCUAGUGAAGAUCAAGCUGCAGACAUAUUCACAAAAGCUUUGACCUAUGGACAAUUCAGUUAUCUUAGAAGCAAGCUGAACAUAUUUCCUACACAGUUCAGCUUGAGGGGGGAUGUUAGCAUAUGUGAGUAACAGAGCAGGGGAUUCCAGCUCAAGAGCCGACGUGUCAAUAUUUGUUAUACAUGUUGCUUAACGUGUAACAAGCUGAUUUCAGUAGUUGAUAACAGAUUCUAGUAGCUUCAUUAAUUAGUUAGAAAGAUUCGUUUAAGCUCAUAUAUAAACCAACACUUGUAAUCUUUUUCAUCAACUUGAUUGAAUACAAAUUCAUUGAUAUUAGUAUAUUCUCUGUUAUUUUUCUUUCUCUUUCUAUCGUUUUCUUAUCUACCAAACACAUCAACAACAUUUCUAACAAACCAUGAGAAUACCGAGGUUACCAAGAGCGCCUUACUCUGCAUCCAAAGGCUUUUCCUAGGCGCAAAGUACGCGAGCUUUUUGCAGGCCUGAAAUCUCUUUCCAUGGGGUCCAGUAUUGUUUACAAAGGAAAUGCUUGUAAUGAUUUGAUUCCAGUUUGGCUGUGGUUAGGUUGUUUAUUUAUUUAUCAAUCAUUGGAGGAAUUUAUGAAUCAGGGGAACUCGUCUGUUGAAUUUUUUUAAGUACUGUGAAGAAUUAGUUGAUUUUUUACCAUAUUUUAGAAAUUUAUUUUGUUUUUGAGAUGAGGAAUAAAUUGAUACCAUCUGUACUGACCUUUGAUAUGAAAACUACUCGGGCGCAUGAUAUAUAUCUGUUUUUGUUCAUUUCUGUAUCUUGCUGCUGACUGAAGCUGGAUUUUCAGGCUCGUUAUUAUCAUUUAUUCUUUUGAAGUUGCAAAAUGAAUUCUCAAUAUUUUCAGGGGAAAUGCUUAUAAUUAGCGCGGAAUUAAACAUUGAUUGUGUACUGUAGACUUCCAAAAGGCAAUUUAUUUCCAUUGAUUUGAGUAAACUAAAUCUCCGUGAUGGUAACACUUAUUUAAUCACUUAUUAAAGAAUUCUUUGAAAAUUUGAUGAUUGUUGUUGAAAACAUUUACUAAUUGUAAAUGCGUUAAAAAUUAUUUGAUUCAUUUAGUAUCACUAAUAGUGAUUUAAUUUUUCAUCUUGAUUGAACGAUGAAUUUUGUAUUAAUCCGGAAAAGUGCAACUGUUACUCCAACCACGCGUCGCUUAAAGGUUCGUGUAAUUUGAGACGACUUGUCGUCUAUGUUUUAUUCCGGACCGGUUCACGCAAACUUUAAAGCUUUCGAGUACUCGCGGAGCGGCGAUCGCAAAUCCCUCAAAAGAACACACUCAAGGAAUGGAGACUGAGAAAGUACAGGAGAAGGAGAAGGAGAAGGAGAAGGAGAAAGUGUGCAAGAGGUGUAAGCAAACGUACACAGCUUCAUCAAACAGCUCUUCUUCUAGCCGCUUUCACCCUUCCUUCUUCGUUUGCCGUCGUCACGACGACCAGAAAAGGUACCCACCCCACUCCCUCUUUUGAUCAUCAUUUCGCAUACACUUUUCUUCAAUUUAUUUUUUUAAAAAUUUUUUUCUCAUGUACCCUUGUGAUUCUUUUGCAUUCUUUAUUGGAUGUUAUUAAUUAUUAUUAAAAAAAUUCUAAAAAAUAAAUAAAAUUCACGGCAGCUAGGAGUUGAAUGAAACUCUUGAGUCCAGUCCAGUUUGGUAGGAUUCUUUGAUUUACAAAGCAUCGAGUAAUCAGAUUUGCUGAGCAUUCAUUUUGCUUUGUUAUGUUUCCAUGUAUCAAUUUUCAGUUCAUACCAAAUCUACUUUUUGAGGUUCGUUAUUCAUUUCCUUUAAUUCUUCGUCAUUGGGUUUCUACUGCAUUGUAAUGCUGUACACAAGGUUAGACUCCUUGCAAGGCACUUCUAUUCACUUACUACUUUCAUGUGGGGGGCGGGGGGCGGGGGGAAGUACAUUUAUGGACUCUUUUUGAUAUUGUGGGAUUUGUGUCUGGGUGUGAGUGCACACAUUUUGAUCGGUAGCUAACUAAUGGAUGUCAUUGCUUGCAGUUUAAAAUGUAGAAAAAUAAUUUGUGUCUGAGUGUGAGUGCACAAAUUUUGAUCUGUAACUAAUUAAUGGAUAUCAUUGUUUAAAAUGUGAAAAAUUUAGUUUAUUCUAUGCUAGUUUUUCAUAACAUGAGUUGGACUGAGCUCAGUCAGUUGAUGCUCCAUGUUUUUGAUUCAUUGAAGGUACUAUGAAUUGGGACCUGAUGAUCCGCCAUAUGCUGCCAAGUUUUACGACUGCUGCGGGGCCGAGGAUGCUGAUGCCUCUGGUUGUACCACUGGCUUCCAUGUCUCUUAUGAUGAUGAUUAACAUAAUUUUUACCUCCUAAUCACCUGUAACUAUAGAUUAAAUUUGUAGAUAUCUCCGUGUCUCCUCCUGUGACCCACAUCAUUUCCACUGUUCUACCACUGUAUAAUUCAGGCCUUUCAUCAGUUUAUCUCUUCAUUUCUCAACAUUUUUCUUUUUUUUUUUUCCUGGGGUUGAUCUGGCAUGAAUUCGACAUGUGCUGCUAUGGCCAACUUUCGAGGGAUGAUGGUAAAUCUAAACCCUUUUCCAUAAACUUCUGCAAUUUGAAGAGCUUAUACUGGAAGCCAUUGCCUUCCCACAUCUUAAGUAAAGAGUAAUGCUACUUUGACAGAAAUAGGUUUACAAAAUUUUGACAUACUUAUGAAAUACUAAAUUACCUUUUAGUUUAUUUACAGAUAGCGAAUUGGGCUUUUUACAUAUUUUUGUAAGAAUCAACCUAAACUUAUAUUCAGGAAAGAAAUAACUGCAGAGGAGAAAAAAUUAAUGAGGCGAUAGAAAAUUAUGCCAAAAUUAAUAGUAAGGCAUUUGAGAUUGCAGUAGAACUUCUCAAUAAUCAUAUUAUUAGGAUCAAUUGAUUUUGUUACUAUAAGGAGGUUAAAACUUUGUAGAGGUUUAGUUCAAAAUUACUAUCUUGACUUCAUUAUUCUUAGUGUAAGUAAGAUAAUUAAUAAAUAAUUAAUGAAGUGUGUCAAUUCUAUGAAGCUUCAAACAUGCUUGAAUACUUAAAAAUAUUUUGUCUUCAACAAGAAGGUGUGUAUAUUAUUGAAUUAUUUUUGCAAUAUACAAAUAAUUAUUAUUAUGUGGAGGCAAUUUCAAAGAUGUGAUAACAAUUUUAAAGAAUAAAUCAUUGUCUCAAACAAUUUUAAAAAAUAUUUUUUUCUAUACUAAAUCUUUUAAAGUAACAAAUAUGUUUUGCAAUACACAUAUAAUUAUUAUUAUGUGGAGAUAAGUUACUAAAGUCAGAAUCUAAAACACUUAUUACAAUUAGAGUUAAUUCUUAUUUAUAAUUUACUUAAAUUAAAGUUAAAAUUUUUUUAUCACUAUAAAAGAGUUAUUUCUAUAUAGAUAAUCACUAUAAAUACAGAGUAUCACUAUAAAAAAGUUUUACGAUCAAUCAUCCGUCAUAAUAAGCACAAGAAUGACAAGUUUUGAUUCUCAAAUAAAUUCUUAUAAAACACAACCAUGGAUUAAGAUUGUCGGGAAAUGGGAAUGCAAUACAAAGUAAUUAAUGACACAGUCUCAGUGUUUCACUUACACGUGAAGCAAACGAAACAAGAAGAAUCUUAAGAAAAAAACACUCACCAGAACGCAAGGUUCAAUCCCGGUUUACUACGUCAACCUCCAUUCCUCAAAGAGAUUGGAAACACGUCAACCUUCAUCUCCACCAGUCUCCAUCUCCACGAAUAAGAAUUCUGCGCCCAUUUGCACUAUUUGAAUCGAGUGGAAGCUUUUUAAGCGAAUGGCAACCCCAAACUUCCAAUUCUUUGAGACGUGGGAGAGGCAAGGGCUUCCAGAAAAUGCUCUUCAAAUUGCGCAGUCGCUCUAACCGAAGACGCUGGAGUUUUGCAAAAGGGCUGCUUAUUAUUCCCGUCAUCUCAGGAAUGUCAUCAAACUCUCCAGCACUGAUUAUUUCUUCCAUGUCAUCGCAAAGCCUUACGGAAAUAGACUUGAGGUUUGGAGCAAAAACGAGGAAUGUCAAGUGUUUCAAAUUUCUGCAACUGUCUACGGUAACUUCCUCUAGGCUGCGGAAAACAUAAGGUUGGCGAGAUUUUUGUACCAUAACUUUGCAGUCAAUCUUCAGUCCCCCAGACCAAUCACAAGAACGAAAGUAUAAUGUAUUGAGCUGCUCUAGAUCGGCUAAAUCUGCAACAUCAAUCGACUCCUCCCUAUCGAACUCAUCGAGCAUAAGAGCUUUGGUAGAACUUCGUAACUUCUGUGAGCUCAAAAAUGUUUGGU